rnacentral:tRNA from 1 species
GUCCCUAUUGUAUAGUGGCUUAGGAUAUCAGUGUCUCAUGCUGGAGACAGAGGUUCGAAUCCUCUUAGGGGUA